AGAGUUUGAUCCUGGCUCAGAGUGAACGUUGGCGGCGUGCCUAACACAUGCAAGUCGAACGAUCCUCGAAUAGCUUGCUAUUUGAGGAGAGUGGCGAACGGGUGAGUAACACGUGGGUAAUCUCCCCUUGAGUGAGGAAUAACCCCGCGAAAGCGGGGCUAAUACCGCAUAAUACUCUGAAGCAUAAGCUUUAGAGUCAAAGCUUUCCGAGCAAUCGGACGGCGCUCGAGGAUGAGCCUGCGGCCUAUUAGCUUGUUGGUAGGGUAACGGCCUACCAAGGUAAUGAUGGGUAGCCGGCUUGAGAGGGUGUACGGCCACACUGGGACUGAGAUACGGCCCAGACUCCUACGGGAGGCAGCAGUGGGGAAUCUUGCGCAAUGGGCGAAAGCCUGACGCAGCGACGCCGCGUGGAGGAUGAAGGCCUUCGGGUUGUAAACUCCUGUCAGAGGAGAAGAAGCCCCGAUCUAUCGGGGUUGACGGUAUCCUCAGAGGAAGCCCCGGCUAACUACGUGCCAGCAGCCGCGGUAAUACGUAGGGGGCAAACGUUGCUCGGAAUCACUGGGCGUAAAGAGUGUGUAGGCGGCUGAGUAAGUCAAAGAUGAAAUCCCGAGGCUCAACCUCGGAAUUGUCUUUGAAACUGUUCAGCUUGAGGAUAGUUGAGGAGAGCGGAAUUCCCGAUGGAGCGGUGAAAUGCGUAGAUAUCGGGAGGAACACCAGAGGCGAAGGCGGUUCUCUGGACUAUUCCUGACGCUGAGACACGAAAGCUAGGGGAGCAAACGGGAUUAGAUACCCCGGUAGUCCUAGCCGUAAACGAUGGGCACUUGAUGUUUCUGCUUUUAUGCAGGAGUGUCGAAGCUAACGCGUUAAGUGCCCCGCCUGGGGAGUACGGUCGCAAGGCUGAA
rnacentral:rRNA from 1 species